rnacentral:rRNA from 1 species
UACGUAGGGUGCGAGCGUUGUCCGGAAUUAUUGGGCGUAAAGAGCUUGUAGGCGGUUUGUCGCGUCUGCCGUGAAAAUCCGGGGCUCAACCCCGGACUUGCGGUGGGUACGGGCAGACUAGAGUGUGGUAGGGGAGACUGGAAUUCCUGGUGUAGCGGUGAAAUGCGCAGAUAUCAGGAGGAACACCGAUGGCGAAGGCAGGUCUCUGGGCCACUACUGACGCUGAGAAG